GGGCCUGUAGCUCAGUGGUAGAGUAUUUGACUGCAGAUCAAGAGGUCACCGGUUCGAACCCGGUCGGGCCCU
rnacentral:tRNA from 1 species